AACGUAGGUCCCGAGCGUUAUCCGGAUUUACUGGGCGUAAAGCGCGUGCAGGCGGCUCCGCAAGUCGGGCAUGAAAUCUCUCGGCUCAACCGAGAGAGGUUGUCCGAUACUGCGGGGCUUGAGGACGGAAGAGGCGGGUGGUAUUCCGCAUGUAGUGGUGAAAUGCGUAGAGAUGCGGAGGAACACCAGUGGCGAAAGCGGCCCGCUGGCCCGCUCCUGACGCUCAGACGCGAAAGCUCGGGGAGCGAACGGG
rnacentral:rRNA from 1 species